GGGCGGUUAGCUCAGUUGUUAGAGCAUCUCGUUUACACCGAGAGGGACGGCGGUUCGAGACCGUCACCGCCCACCA
rnacentral:tRNA from 1 species